AGACAGUUCGGUCCCUAUCUACCGUGGGCGUUGGAAAUUUGAGAGGAUCUGCUCCUAGUACGAGAGGACCAGAGUGGACGAACCUCUGGUGUUUCGGUUGUGACGCCAGUCGCAUUGCCGAGUAGCUAUGUUCGGAUGGGAUAACCGCUGAAAGCAUCUAAGCGGGAAGCCCACCUUAAGAUUAGAUUUCCCUAAAGAGCCGUUGUAGACUACGACGUUGAUAGGUUGGGUGUGGAAGCACAGCGAUGUGUGUAGCUAACCAAUACUAAUUGCUCGUUUGGCUUGACUAUACAACGCCUAA
rnacentral:rRNA from 1 species